GGCUGACUCAGAGGAUGAUGAUCAGCACGACAGUGCCUUCUGCCUGUGCUAGUACUAUGUGUUUAUAGGAGACAUGUUAUAAGGUGACAGUCACCAGUUCAGCUCCACCCCUUGAUCUGUUCACCAGGCAUUAUGGAGACUGGAAAGACCAAGAGAGCAAAUGGAGGAAGGAGCGUAUUAAUUGGAAUAAAUUUUAUAUUUUUUGGAAGUAAGAAAGAACAUUUCUCAAGGGCUUCCAGGAGGAUUGCACAGAGCUUGGACUACAUGUAGCUGAGAGGAGGAUGAGCAGAGACCUAUCUGUCUGAGAUCAUGUCACCCUAUUUAUUAAUGCACAGCAGAAUUCCUGCAGGUCAUGAUGGCGAAGGCAUCUGCUUUGCUCUUUGGGAAGCAAUUGAAUUUCAUCUGCUGUAUUACAGAGUGCUGUUCAACAAGGUAGCUGAUGUUGGAGUUGCUGUCCUGGCCAUU